rnacentral:rRNA from 1 species
AGAGUUUGAUCCUGGCUCAGGAUGAACGCUGGCGGCGUGCUUAACACAUGCAAGUCGAACGAUGAAAGCGGGAGCUUGCUCCUGCUGGAUUAGUGGCGAACGGGUGAGUAACACGUGAGUAACCUGCCCUUGACUCUGGGAUAAGCGUUGGAAACGACGUCUAAUACCGGAUACGACCUUCGGAGGCAUCUCCUGGGGGUGGAAAGAAUUUCGGUCAAGGAUGGACUCGCGGCCUAUCAGCUAGUUGGUGAGGUAAUGGCUCACCAAGGCGACGACGGGUAGCCGGCCUGAGAGGGUGACCGGCCACACUGGGACUGAGACACGGCCCAGACUCCUACGGGAGGCAGCAGUGGGGAAUAUUGCACAAUGGGCGCAAGCCUGAUGCAGCAACGCCGCGUGAGGGACGACGGCCUUCGGGUUGUAAACCUCUUUUAGUAGGGAAGAAGCGAAAGUGACGGUACCUGCAGAAAAAGCACCGGCUAACUACGUG